rfam:Pteropus alecto contig168553, whole genome shotgun sequence.
GUCUAUGGCCAUGCCACCCUGAACAAGCCUGAUGUCCGAUCUCAGAAGCUAAGCAGAGUCGGGCCUGGUUAGCACUUGGAUAGGAGACCACUUAGAAAGGCCAAGUGCUGAAGGCA